rnacentral:rRNA from 1 species
GACGAACGCUGGAGGCGUGCUUAACACAUGCAAGUCGAACGAUGAAAUGGAGCUUGCUCCAUGGCUUAGUGGCGAACGGGUGAGUAACACGUGAAUAACCUGCCCUUAAUUUUGGAAUAACCCAGGGAAACCUGGGCUCAUACAGGAUAAAUAAAACUGUGGCAUCACACGGUUGUGGCAAGUUUUUCGAUUAGGGAUGGAUUCUGGGCCUAUCAGCUUGUAGGUGAGUGAAUGGCGCACCAAGGCGACGACGGGUAGCCGGCCUGAGAGGGGGAACGGCCACACUGGGACUGAGACACGGCCCAGACUCCUACGGGAGGCAGCAGUGGGGAAUAUUGCGCAAUGGACGAAAGUCUGACGCAGCGACGCCUCGUGAGUGACGAAGGUCUUCGGAUUGUAAACCUCUUUCAGCAGGGACGAAGCGAAAGUGACGGUACCUGCAGAAGAAGCACCGGCUAACUAUGUGCCAGCCGCCGCAGUAA